GGCUUUGUAGUCGAGUGGUGAAGACACUUGCCUCUUAUUCUAGAGUCCCGGGUUCGAUCCACGGUCGAGGAGCUA